rnacentral:tRNA from 3 species
CGGAGUGUGGCUCAGCCCGGUAGAGCACCUCGUUCGGGACGAGGGGGUCGGAGGUUCAAAUCCUCUCACUCCGA